GGGGAUUUAGCUCAGUGGCAUAAGCGCCUGCCUUGCAAGCAGGUAGUUGUGGGUUCGAUCCCUGGUACCCA
rnacentral:tRNA from 1 species